UACGUAGGGGGCAAGCGUUGUCCGGAUUUAUUGGGCGUAAAGAGCGUGUAGGCGGCCAAACAGGUCAGCUGUGAAAACUCGAGGCUCAACCUCGAGACGUCGGUUGAAACCGUUUGGCUAGAGUCCGGAAGAGGAGAGUGGAAUUCCCGGUGUAGCGGUGAAAUGCGCAGAUAUCGGGAGGAACACCAAUUGCGAAGGCAGCUCGCUGGGACGUUACUGACGCUGAGACGCGAAAGCGUGGGGAGCAAACAGG
rnacentral:rRNA from 1 species